rnacentral:tRNA from 1 species
CCAAAAUGCAAAUUUGGAGACGCACCCAAGUGUGCCGGGGCUUCUCCCGGUU